UACAGAGGGUGCGAGCGUUAAUCGGAAUUACUGGGCGUAAAGCGUGCGUAGACGGUUAUUUAAGUCGGGUGUGAAAGCCCCGGGCUCAACCUGGGAAUUGCAUUCGAGACUGAAUAGCUAGGGUACGGUAGAGGGAAGCGGAAUUUCCGGUGUAGCGGUGAAAUGCGCAGAUAUCGGGAAGAACACCCGUGGCGAAGGCGGUUCUCUGGGACGGUACUGACGCUGAGACGCGAAAGCGUGGGGAGCGAACAGG
rnacentral:rRNA from 1 species